rnacentral:rRNA from 1 species
CUACGGGUGGCUGCAGUAGGGAAUAUUGCGCAAUGGGCGAAAGCCUGACGCAGCAAUACCGCGUGAGUGAGGAAGGUUUUCGGAUUGUAAAGCUCUGUCAAGGUGGAAAAACGGAUUAUGGUCCAAUAGGCCAUAAUUUUGAUGGUACACCUGAAGGAAGCACCGGCUAACUUCGUGCCAGCAGCCGACGGUAAUACGAGGGGUGCAAGCGUUGUUCGGAUUUAUUGGGCGUAAAGCGCGCGCAGGCGGGUUAAUAAGUCAGGUGUGAAAUCUUGGGGCUCAACCCCGAAACUGCGCCUGAAACUGUUGAUCUAGAAUCUUGGAGAGGGAAGGGGAAUUCCUCAUGUAGGAGUAAAAUCCGUAGAGAUGAGAAGGAACACCAGAGGCGAAGGCGCCUUCCUGGACGAGUAUUGACGCUGAGGCGCGAAAGCGUGGGGAGCAAACAGGAUUAGAUACCCGAGUAGUC